rnacentral:rRNA from 1 species
CUYGGCAUUCCCUAGUAGCGGCGAGCGAAGCGGGAAGAGCUCAAAUUUAUAAUCUGGCACCUUCGGUGUCCGAGUUGUAAUCUCUAGAAAUGUUUUCCGCGCUGGACCGCACACAAGUCUGUUGGAAUACAGCGGCAUAGUGGUGAGACCCCCGUAUAUGGUGCGGACGCCCAGCGCUUUGUGAUACAUUUUCGAAGAGUCGAGUUGUUUGGGAAUGCAGCUCAAAUUGGGUGGUAAAUUCCAUCUAAAGCUAAAUAUUGGCGAGAGACCGAUAGCGAACAAGUACCGUGAGGGAAAGAUGAAAAGCACUUUGGAAAGAGAGUUAACAGUACGUGAAAUUGUUGGAAGGGAAACGCUUGAAGUCAGACUUGCUUGCCGAGCAAUCGGUUUGCAGGCCAGCAUCAGUUUUCCGGGAUGGAUAAUGGUAGAGAGAAGGUAGCAGUUUCGGCUGUGUUAUAGCUCUCUGCUGGAUACAUCUUGGGGGACUGAGGAACGCAGUGUGCCUUUGGCGGGGGUUUCGACCUCUUCACACUUAGGAUGCUGGUGGAAUGGCUUUAAACGACCCGUCUUGAAMCACGGACCAAA